AGGACGAACGCUGGCGGCGUGCUUAACACAUGCAAGUCGAGCGGAAAGGCCCUUCGGGGUACUCGAGCGGCGAACGGGUGAGUAACACGUGAGCAAUCUGCCCUUAGCUUCGGGAUAGCCCCGGGAAACCGGGAUUAAUACCGAAUAUGACCUCGGCCGACAUCGGCCUUGGUGGAAAGUUUUUCGGCUAGGGAUGAACUCGCGGCCUAUCAGCUUGUUGGUGGGGUAAUGGCCUACCAAGGCGACGACGGGUAGCCGGCCUGAGAGGGCGACCGGCCACACUGGGACUGAGACACGGCCCAGACUCCUACGGGAGGCAGCAGUGGGGAAUAUUGGACAAUGGGCGCAAGCCUGAUCCAGCAAUGCCGCGUGAGUGAUGAAGGCCUUAGGGUUGUAAAGCUCUUUCGGCGGGGACGAUGAUGACGGUACCCGCAGAAGAAGCCCGGCUAACUUCGCGCCAGCAGCCGC
rnacentral:rRNA from 1 species